rnacentral:tRNA from 1 species
GCUAUUUUGGCAGAUUAGUGCGUUGGAUUUAGAAUCUUAUUAUGUGGAUUUACUACAGAUAGUA